GUCAGACCUGAACGAGAUCGUAUGCUUCCCGUGAGAAACCAGCGGCUGGGCAGGCAGCCACUCAGCUGCACCUCCAGCAUACCAGCCCGACCCUCGUGCCUGCAUGAAUGUUGCCAUUGUGCAGAUGGCAGCAGGACACGUAGCUUGAAGGACCCCAGCACAAGUCAGGCCAUCCAGCUGCGGUACAGCACGGCUUUCCCGGGGGGAAGUGCGCAUGAGCAGCCAGGGCAGAUUUAAGGACAGCCUUCAGAACAGAUGCAGGACGCUGCAGUGCUGUAGCAGUGAUCAUGCUGAAAAGUUUGGAAUGGUUUUAAGUCGGCUGAAAGAUCACACUCCAGUGCCUCAGCUGCCUGCCUUGAGCCUAACCUGAUACUGCCAGGAUCAUCAACAUGGAUGAAGAAAGGGAUAUUACUUCUGGAGGUACUAACUAAUGAGGCAGGAGGAGAGCUUUGCUUCCAGCUGGGAUCAGUUCAGGUGCAGAGGAGCUGCUUGUGGCAGCUUGGCCAUGGAGGCCCCUCAAGGUGUUGGUUCUCCAAAGCACUCACAGCCAG
ensembl:lncRNA